rnacentral:lncRNA from 1 species
ACUGUUGCCAAAGUGGAAUUUGUCCUGAUGGUGUAUUUUUACUAUGUAUUCCCUUUUUUUGCAGAUAUUGAAGCUGUCAAAGGUACAUGGUUUUAACAUCCAAAGCAUGCAGAUUAAUUAUUACGAUCUGUUUUGAUGGUUUUGAUCAUUUUUUUUUUGUAAAUUUGUUUUGUAGAGUUUGAUGGCACAUAUGACUACGACUAUGACUACAACAUCCAUUAUGAUUCCUACUCUGAUGCAGAAGAAGCUGCUGCUCCAGACACUCCCUCAAUAAGUUCAGUUCGAGUCUUCUCCUCCUCAGUGGAUGGAGACCCGCAUUUUGUCGUAACUCUCCCGAAGCUACACCAGAAUCUGUGCUUUACUGUUGAUGGUGAAGCCAAUGAUGUGUUGCUUCUUUUGGAAGACCCAGGCAGAGGUAACAUUCAGUUAUGAUUACUUAAAAUAAACAGAAUAUACAGCUCUGAAACCA